GGAAAGGAGAAAGGAGAGAGACGCCAGCACCACCAGGAGAAGCAAGAUGUGAAAAUACUGAUUAGGAAAUCAAACAUGUCUACAACUACGGUUCAUAUGUGCUCCAUUAAAAUGGGUACAAGUCUCAGUAAGCAGGUAAUGCGGAGCUGUGCUAUUUCCUAGAGGACAUCAGCCGGUGUGCAAGCCCAUGUGAAAAGCCAGCCCGUGUGCUGAGAACUAGGGCCUCCUGCUGAGCCAACACCAACUGCUCAUCGGACAGGUGACAGGUAAAGCCAGAGCGAAUUCUAAAGCGCAACCGGGAGUCAAGGAGCAGUGUCUGUAGCCAGCCCAGCAAGACGGAAGUGCCGAGUGGGUUUUCCCACUGUAGGGAUUCAAGCAAACUACCUUCAUUUCUCCCUCUCCAGCAAGAGACCAGAAAAUCCCAGUCCUAAGGGCACUUGUUCUAGCUCAAGGGCAUAGGGUUGUUUUUUUUUUUUUUUUUUUUUUUCCUUCCUGGCAGAGGGCACUGGCUCAGUGAGCUAGCCAAGAGUUUAUACUUUUUAUUGCCAAGAUGGCAGCUACCCUGGCAAGCCUUGGGAAAGAUUGCUUGAAAAGGUCUUCGUGCACCUUGGAACUAUACGAAACCUUUCCCACCUCAUAAUGUUGGGAAAUAUUUAGCUCAAGAAGAAAGCUGACUAUAGAUGAUUUCAUCGAUCAUAUUUUAAGUAUUAUAAACAGAAAUCAGAUCCCAUUAACUAGUAGUGCAUUCCAAGCUGAAGCCUUGCUAAAUUGCCUAACGGGCUGAACAGGGGAACAAAGGAGGUUGUUGUGGAUUCACUGUGAAGAUGUCUGUAAGGUGGCACUCAUCUGGAGAAGCCAUUUCCCACGUCCCUUGUCCUGAUGCUUCACAAGCGCUCAGCACCUGGAGACUCCUAGAGAGCCUCCUGUCAGUGGCGAGCUCCGAAGUGACACUGACCACAAUGCAGAGCCAGAACUGUGAUGUGACACAGAAUCCUGUCCCUUACAGGUGCCUACAGCAAUCACUUGGGGUUUAUAUGUUCUUUAAGAAAUCUCAAUCAAUCUAUGAUAGUGGUUGUGUGAUACCACCCUGCAGAUCCUGAGAGAGCUCAGGGUCACUUAAGGUGGUCCAUUAGACCAAAACCACUUCCAUAGCCAUAAAAGACUGUCAUUUAUGUUUUGUUUUGGCUGUGUUGAAAUUUGCACUUAUGAUGUAAUAUCAAUGAUUUUUAAAAAAAAAGAAAGAAAGAAAAAAAGAAACUGGUCCGGUCCCAUGCAGUUUCCACAGCUGUUGGUCUAUGUUUGUGAGUUCCUCUGAGCUUGAUUCAGUUGUCUCUGUAUAUGUCCCCAUCGUGAUCUGGAUCCCCAUUGCUCAUAGAAUCCCUCUUCCCUCUCUUUGACUGGACUCCUGAGCUCAGCCUGGUGCUUGGCUGUGGAUCUCUGCAUCUGCUUCCAUCAGUUAC